UGACUACAAUUUUUAUUGCCACCGUAUAUAAAGUAUGUGACAUGAAAUGUAUUACUUACUGAGGGUCAUGGUCAAAAGGGUUUAAAAGCCACUGGACAGAAUGUUCCCAAAGGUUCUUUACAGACCUAAAAAUAGAUUACUUUUCCUUAAGUAUCCCCACAGGGAACAAGGACUGAUUUUGGGUAGUCCAUGGAAAAACAACUUUUAAAUCUUAUUGAAUGUAUUUUACUGUGGGUUAGAAAAAAAUUAUAACUAGCAUAUUCAAGCACUAAUAUAAAAUAUCCUUAAAAAUUAAUGUAUGUCUUCAAAAGAAAGAAAAUUAGCAAGUAAAUAAUUACAAAAAAUUAAGAUACAGAUGGUGGGCAAAUAUGAUAAAGAUCACAAAGAGGAAUGCAAAUGCCUGGGGCUCUAGAGUCAAAUACUGAACUUGGCAUCAGAAGACAGAGAUUUGGGUCCUGACAUACUCAUUCUCCAACUCUGGUUUAUUUUAUCUCUUAUAUAGUACUUAUGAUGGGCCAGGCACUGUUCUAAAUACUUCACAAAAAUUACUUCCUUUUGGGAGUUCCCAUAGUGGCUCAGUGGUUAAUGAACCUGACUGGUAACCAUGAGGUUUCGGGUUCGAUCCCUGGCCUUGCUCCUGGGUUAAGGAUCCGGCAUUGCCGUGAGCUGUGGUGUAGGUCACAGACGCGCCUCGGAUUCUGAGUUGCUGUGGCUCUGUCGUAGGCCGGUGGCUACAGCUCCAAUUAGACCCCUAGCCGGGAACUUCCAUAUGCCUCAGGAGUGGCCCUAGAAAAGGCAAAAAGACCAAAAAACAAAACAAACAAAAAAAUUACUUCCUUUAAUCCUUACAACUGCCCACUGAGUAGGUGUUGUCAUCAUAUACAUUUCUCAGAAGAGGUAAGGAAGAGGUUAAAUAACCUACACACAGACCCGGGCAUUGUAUUAGUAAGGACAAUACUAGCUGGCAUAAUAAACAAACUCCAAAUGUAAGAUAGACGAGUUUAUCUCCUUCACAGAGGGACCCUGGCUCCUUCCGUCUUGGCUGGAAGUUGGGUUUUAUUUUAACCACCCCACUGUGAUAGGUGGCUUUUCCUUUAUCGCUCUGGGCUCCAGGUCCUCCUCAGAAAAUACUGUGAAUAAUGCUGGGUCUGAUCACCUCUCCAGAUCUAGGGAAUGGGUACAAUGCUUUCUAUAAAUGCAACCAAUUCCAGUGGAUUUCAAGUGGCAGCAGCAUUGUCAUGUUGGCUAACACCUACCUACCUUGUAGGGUUACUGUAAAGGUGGAGAUACCGCAUGGAGAGGCCUUGGUUCAUGCACGGACUCCAUCAGCUGUGAACGGGGGUAAUAAUACUGUGGUUAGGCAAAUGAAACGAUGAAUAUCAGCUUAUCUCCAAAUUAGAAAAUAGUUCAUAGCAUCUUUCCUAUUAGCAAAUUAACCCAUUACACCUAAGACUGAAAAAAAUCAAGAAGUAGCAGUAUAAGCACGCUAUUUAGAAAUAUAGAGGAAAACACUGGGAGGGGGAAAAAUGCAGCUAUAGUAGCUGCUAGUGGUUGCUGCUGAGUAAUGGGAAUCAGGUUCAGCAAAGAGUGGGUGGGCAACUGCCACUAUUUAUUAUCUGCUUUGUAGAAGUAUUUGAUUUUUUCAAUUGUGUACUUACAUAGCUUUGAUAAAAUUUUUUUUCCAAAGCUCUUAAAAAGGAAAAGGGAAUAACUAAACACCAUUUAAUUAAAUAAACACCGGUUCAACACUCUCAACUGUACUUGAAAAUGAGAGUCCUGGGAUAGAAAGCAACAGAGAGACAAGGCAGAGUUAUAAGUUAGAGGAGAAGUUCAGGACACAAUUGCACUUAAAAUCCCUGCCCCAGGGCCUUUGUACUUGCUGUUCCUUCUGCCAGGAACACCCUUCCUCCAGAUGUUCCAGUAACUGAUUUCUUCGCUUCGUUUGGUUCUGCUCAGAUGUUCCCCACUCAGAAGGGCCUUCCUUGACCACCCAAUCUAAGACUGCCCCUCCUCCAGCCAUGGCUAUCCAUCCUAUUAUCCUCUCCAGCUCUGGAAUUGUGAAUUCACUGAUCUGUUUAUCAUCUGUCUCUUCCACUACAAUGUGAGUUCCAUCAGAGCAGAGAAUCUGGCCGUCUUGCUAUAUCCUCAGCACACAGAAUGGUGCUUGGCACACAGUAGGCGCUCCAUAAAUAUUUGUGGAAUGAGCAAAUACAGAGGGGACAGCUGAGUCAGUCCACUGAGGGGCAGGAUGGGCCAAUGACGUGGGGAGGAAGCUGUAGCCUCUGCCUGGGCCCUGCCCUGGGUAAACAGUCCUCCCUCUACACAGACAGCCACUGUUUGACAACUGUCUGCCACGGGACUGGCCAGGCCUGGGCCGUCACACGGCCAAGGCCCUUGGAUUCCCUGGGACAAGCAGCAGAGGCAGCCACACCUCAGAGAGCACUUGUGAAGGAACAGGUCGAAAAGUUAUCCAAACAGGCGUGAGGAAAGGAGGAGGAGGUGGUGAGACACAGAGAGAGCAGUUGGCCCUUCCCUGGCCGGAGCCCCGAGGGGCUGGAGGAAGGCCCUGGCCCACAGAGCGGGCAGCUUUGCCGGCCAGGCCUGGCCUCCAGAACCCAACUCUGGUCCUGGUUGGGUGCUGGCUUGUAGAGGGACCUCAGGCAUUUGCCACCUCUGGGCCUCAGUUUCCUCUCCUCUCAGUCAAGAGACUGUGGGUUCAUCAGUGGUUUUCAAACUUAAAAAAAAAAAAAAAAAAUGGCAGUGGCAUUUCUUCAAACCAGAUCUUACUGAAAGUCGGUUCUCAGGAGGGACACAACAGGCACACCUGGGCUGAAGAAAGGGGUAGGUACAGGAUGCUGCCCACCCCACAGCCCCUGGCCCUUCAAAGUAGCCCCAGGGUGAAAACCACCAGGCUCCUGGGUUCUGAGGUUCUUCAGCAAAAGUCUUAGAAUUAAACCUAGACCCAGGUUCAAGCCUCACAGGGGGAUCUUAGGCAAUCACUCCCCCUUUCUGAGCCUUGGUUUCCCAUCUCUAAAUCUGCCAUCAUAAAUAGUACUUCCUUCAUGGCGUCAAAUUUUCAGCAAAGAACCUGGCACCUAGUAAAUUCUCAAUAAGAAUAGUGAAAAAUCAAUAUUGGUUAUUAGAGGAAGUAGCAAAAAUGACCCAAAGAGCCAGUUCUUUGUCUUUGCUAUGAGUUGGGAAAAUAUUUAACCACUCUGAACCUCAGUUUCCUCCUCUAAAGGAAACAGUUUCUUUCCUUAGUUUCCUCUAAAACACAGCCAAGAGUUUAAAGGAGAUCAGAGGUUGAGACCCAGACCACUCAGUUUUGCUUUUAAAUUAAAUUUAAUUGGAGUUCCCACUGUGGCUCAGUGGGUUAAGAACCUGACUAGUAUCUAUGAAGAUGCAGGUUCAAUCCCUGGCCUUACUCAGUGGGUUAAAGGAUCCGGUGUUGCCACAAGCUGUGGUAGAGGUUGUGGAUGUGGGAAGGAUCUGGCACUGCUGUGGCUGUGGCCAGCAGCUGUGGCUCCAAUUUGACCCCUAGCCUGGGAACCUCCAUAUGCUGUGGGUGCAGUCCUAAAAAAAAAAAAAAGACACACACACAAACCACUUCAAUUGACUGUUAACCUUUAAAAAUCCCAAUUUCCAGCCUCUUUCAAAAAGUCAGAAGUUCUAGCAACACUGACCCCUCCCAUACCCAUGAGACAAAAGGUCACUGGAGUUAAUUUAGACUGGGCAUGCUUUCCUCUAACUUGCCACAGUCUCCACCAUUCCUUAGUGUUCUCCACUAAUGUUAGAUUAAUAGAUAUAGACCAUAUGUUUGCUGUGUUAAUUUUCUUAUAGGAAACAGUGAAAUUUGCUUACACUUUCUCUGUUUUAUAUACCUCUAUUAUCUAUUUGGGCAUUGAGGGCACUUGAGUUUAGGACCCCUGAUUGCUAAAACCAAGAGAAAGCUCAUUAUUUGUGCACACGAUUUCCUAUUUCAUAGAUUUACUUUUUUUUUUUUUCUUUUUACUGCCACACCUGCAGCAUAUGGAAGUUCCUGGGCUAGGGGUCAAAUCGGAGUUGCCACUACAGGCCUAUGCCACAACCACAGCAAUGCCAGAUCUGAGCUGCAUCUGUGACCUAUGCCUCUGCUUGCAGCAACACAGGGUCCUUCACCCACUGAGCGAGGCCAGGGAUCAAACCCGCAACCUCAUGGACACUGUAUCAGGUUCUUAUCCCACUGAACCACAACGGGAACUCCUAGAUUUGUUUUUAAAUGUGACUACUAGGACAUUUUAAAUGGCACAUGUGGUUCACAUUCUAUUUCUGUUGGACACUGCAGCUCUAGCCCCUUGGAUUCUAUAGCAAUGAUCAAGUUCACUGCUAACUCAUCCUGCCUCUGUUUCCCAUUCGGACUAGACCAGUUCUAGCCAAACAUCUUGGGCUGGUGUCCCGACCUGGGUCUCUUCUCCAGUUCACAGUUAUCUCUGGUGUCCCCACCCUUGUUGCCUGCCUGUCAGGAGGCCCAGGCUCUAGAACUCAAGACCUGUCUUCUAGAAUUCUACACUGGGAAACCUCACCUCCCAGCCCUCAUCUGGCAGCCAUUGUGUUUUCUUUAUCAGACGUUCACAUAAAACAAUAGUCAAUUUGAAAGUUAAUUACACACUCAUUCUUCUGUCUCCAGCCUGUGAAUUUACCCCCCAAUCCUAUGAUUUGGGGGGUGGAGUUGGGGUGGGGAGAGGAUUAAUUUUUUUUUCCCCUUCUCAGGGCAAGUCAUAAUUUUUCUAGAGAUAAGGUAGACUGAGUUUGGGGAAGUGACACAGGUCCUUCCACAGUGAAGGUGCUGACUUUUUUGGAGGAGAUUAAUAUCCUCCCAUUGCUCCUCUGAGAGGAGAGGAUUCUGAAUGACUUCAGGAGCCAAGAGGAAAGGGAAUCUUGUAGUGUUGAAGGGAGGGAGGCCUUAUCUGGUAGUGGCUGGGAAUUUGUGCUGCAGAGUCAGAAAGACUUGGGUUAGAGCUCGGCAAGCUGUGUGACCUUGGACAGGUGACUUUACCUCUCUGACCCUCAGUCUCCUCAUCUAUAAACUGAAGGUAAGAACAAUUUUAUUCUAGCACAGACUUUGGACAUAUGUAUUCCGUAAAUGCUGGCAAGCAUCAUAUCUUUCGAAAAAGGGCCUCCGUCGGCAGGUGGAGUCAAUUGAAUUCUUUUUCAUUUCACUGCUGGGCAUUUUUGUAAUUAUUCUACCAUGAGCCUGCUGCAGUUAAGUCAUUAAAAAUUAACUGAGGGAAGACGAAUAAAAUUGAGUGGAAAUGUCAUCCAUCCUAAGUCUGGGCUCCAAAGAAGGGGUUUUUGAGCUGGAAACAGGUAAGAGGUCUUGGAGUCGAAACUUCACACACCCAUUUAAUAAACAUCUUAAUUAACUGAGGCCCCGAGAGGAAAGAUAAUUUGGCCAAAGUCAUCCAGCAAGUGAGUGGCAGAGCCAGGACUAGAAUGCUGACAGUGAGGAUUGGAAGGCAACUUGGAGGUGACUAGGUCAGCCUUUCCCAAGGCAAGGCAACUCAGACAAGAAGGAUUCUAUUCUGCAAUGUCUG
rnacentral:lncRNA from 1 species